UUUGUGCUGACAUGAAUUAUCAUUGAUAUUGUUACAUUUAUAAAUUAACUGUUUACAAAAUUUGAUUUUUUUGAAAUACUAAGGCUUUUCUACCUAAGGCAUAGAUUACCUUAGCUGUAUUUGGCAAAAUUUUUAGGAAUUUUGGUCCUCAAUGCUCUUUAACUUCGUAUUUUAUUUGGCCUUUUUAACUUUUUUGGAUUCGAGC
rnacentral:lncRNA from 1 species